rnacentral:rRNA from 1 species
AGCAGCCGCGGUAAUUCCAGCUCCAAUAGCGUAUAUUAAAGUUGUUGCAGUUAAAAAGCUCGUAGUUGAAUUUCGGGGUCAAUUUAUUGGUCGUGCAAUAGUACGUACUGGUAUUAUUGGUUCCUACCUUCUGAUGAACCAUGAUGUCAUUAAUUUGGUGUUAUGGGGAAUCAGGACUGUUACUUUGAAAAAUUAGAGUGUUUAAAGCAGGCUCACGCUUGAAUACAUUAGCAUGGAAUAAUGAAAUAGGACGUAUGAUUCUAUUUUGUUGGUUUCUAGGAUCGACGUAAUGAUUAAUAGGGAUAGUUGGGGGCAUUAGUAUUCAAUUGUCAGAGGUGAAAUUCUUGGAUUUAUUGAAGACUAACUACUGCGAAAGCAUUUGCCAAGGAUGUUUUCAUUAAUCAAGAACGAAAGUUAGGGGAUCGAAGACGAUCAGAUACCGUCGUAGUCUUAACCAUAAACUAUGCCGACUAGGGAUCGGAUGAUGUUAAUUUUUAAUGA